rnacentral:rRNA from 1 species
CAACUUGUUGGUGAGGUCGUGGCUCACAAAGGUUGCGACGGGUAACGGGGAAUCAGGGUUCGAUUCCGGAGAGGGAGCCUGAGAAACGGCUACCACAUCUAAGGAAGGCAGCAGGCGCGCAAAUUACCCAAUCCAGAAUUUGGGAGGUAGUGACGAGAAAUACCGGAGUUGAUCAUAAUGGUUAACUAUCGGAAUGAACGUAAUUUAGUACCUUCGAUGAGUAGCUACUGGAGGGCAAGUCUGGUGCCAGCAGCCGCGGUAAUUCCAGCUCCAGUAGUGUAUAUCAAUGUUGUUGCGGUUAAAACGCUCGUAGUUGGAUUACAAAAGCUCGAUGGGGCCCGAGCUCAAGUAGUUCGGGUGUCGUGGGGUUUUUUUAUCGCGAGAGCCGUGUGUGGGAUUAAUUUCUUGUAUGCGGUCACUUGCGGAGUGUGCCUUGAAUAAAGCACAGUGCUCAAAGCAGGCGUACGCUCGAAUGUUAUAGCAUGGAACGAAUAUGUUGACCGUGUCGAUUGUUGGUUGUUGACGGGGUCUCGAUUAAAAGGAACAUUUGAGGGCGUUGGUACUUGGUGGCGAGAGGUGAAAUUCUUAGACCCACCAAAGACUCACAAAUGCGAAAGCAUUCGCCAAGAGUGUUUUCAUUAAUCAAGAACGAAAGUCAGAGGUUCGAAGACGAUCAGAUACCGUCGUAGUUCUGACAGUAAACGAUGCCAACCUGGGGUUAGUCCGGUGCUA